rnacentral:rRNA from 1 species
UACGUAGGGUGCGAGCGUUAAUCGGAAUUACUGGGCGUAAAGCGUGCGCAGGCGGUUCGUUAAGUCAGAUGUGAAAGCCCCGGGCUCAACCUGGGAACUGCAUUCGAUACUGCGGGUCUCGAGUCCGGGAGAGGUGAGUGGAAUUCCUAGUGUAGAGGUGAAAUUCGUAGAUAUUAGGAAGAACACCAGUGGCGAAGGCGGCUCACUGGCCCGGUACUGACGCUGAGGCGCGAAAGCGUGGGGAGCAAACAGG